UGCUAUAGGUUUACCGUCUAUAUGCUGACUAAUUGGCAACUGCCUUGAUGUUAAUCAAUGUCAAUAUUGCGAAGUCAUUAGGAGGGGGCGGAGAUAGAUUAUCACAUGACACAAUUAAAGUCUACGCAUGCUCUAUUUUGCUGACUGCUGUUAUUCAAGACUGAGUCGGAUUAGAAAUUCUAAUUUCUUUGUAAAAAAGAAAAGGUGACAAGGAUUUCCAAGAAAUAUUAAUAUAAUGGCCCGUAGCUUAUUUUUACGAACUACAACAUGCUUUGGUUCAGCACUGAAAGCAGUAUUCUCUGUAACCGAAGAUCAGUGCUAAGGAAGGAAAACAGCGCUUCAAAAACAAGCCAAGAUUCCUCAAGCUGAUUGUCAAGUUAUAUGAAAUGUUUUGGCUCCAAAGACUACUACGAAUAAACUUAAAGUACAGAGAAGUU